GAAUUUAGUGUUACACCGGAAGUGUCUGCCCAGAGUCUGUCGAAGUGCUAACGGCUAAGCUAAUGCAUUGAGGAGCCAAAUACGAUCCUCUGACUGAAUGUGUUAUCUCCGCUCCGGACACAAAUUCACACACUACCGCCAUGCUACUGCAGCAGUGAGCCUUCUUCACGGCAAUAAAAAGACACGACUGAAUAUCCUUCUGCUCAUCCAAGCGGUAAAACCAGGUGUGAAUGACCGACGUGGUGCCUAACACCGCCCUCAGUGAAAUAAAGCUCCGCCUGCUCUGCCACGAUGACAUAGAGAGAAUAAAAGUGCUCUGUGGAGAGUGGUUUCCCAUUGAGUAUCCGGACUCAUGGUACCAUGACAUCACAUCAAAUAAGAAGUUCUUCUCUCUGGCUGCCACCUUUAGAGGGGGAAUUGUCGGGAUGAUUGUGGCAGAAAUAAAAAGCAGAACGAAAGUGCACAAAGAGGAUGGAGACAUCUUGGCCUCCAGCUUUCCUGUUGACACUCAAGUUGCGUACAUCCUGAGUUUAGGGGUCGUGAAGGAGUUUCGAAAACAUGGAAUAGGCUCUCUGUUACUAGACAGUCUAAAGGAGCACAUCUCCACCACGGCACAGGACCACUGUAAAGCCAUCUACCUGCAUGUGCUCACCACUAAUAACACUGCCAUUCACUUCUAUGAGGACAGAGACUUUAAACAGCACCACUAUUUACCGUAUUAUUACUCUAUACGAGGAGUGCUGAAGGAUGGCUUCACCUACGUCCUCUACAUCAAUGGCGGACAUCCUCCAUGGACUCUCUUAUAUCCUUUUCAAAUAAAUGCAGCAUUGAUGUUAAUAAGAUUCAAAAACAGAUUUUUUUUUAAUCCUACCAACCGUACCGUGAACAGUAGUGUAUAUUCCCAGUUGUCUUGUAGUGUUCCUUGACUCACUCAGCACUGAUUAUAUUCAUCAUUUAGGUUCGGCACUGGCCAGUCUGAGCCCCUGCUCAAUCCCUCAGAGAAUUUACCGGCAAGCACAGAAUCUGCUGCGCAGCUUUCUGCCGUGGUCGGGCAUCUCUUCCAAGAGCGGCAUCGAGUACAGCAGAACAAUGUGAGGAUCGGUCAGGUCACAAAAGUGCAGGGUGGAAGUUAUUGAUUUUUUUGGGUCACAUCAGAUGCUGAAGAGGAAUGCGAAGACUGAUAUCCGAUCUCUCUGGUCUCGAGCAGUGUAUUAUACUUGUAUAAUUUACAUGUAUAUACUGUACCUAUAUAUACUUUAAUUAAUAUAUAUAUAUGCCUAGUCAUCAGUAGAUUGCCCUUUUUAAUAUAAACUCUCCACUUCAUGCCUGUAAUUCUGCUGCUGUGUUGAAAUAUUCUAUUGUUAAUCCAGAUUUUUAAUAUAAAUAGAUCUUUUUUUUAUUUGUGACUGUUCUAUAAAGAUGAUUUUAGGGUUUGAUGGUAGAAGUAUGCAUACUUUUUUCAUUUAGUCACCUUCGUGCAUGUGUCAAGCACUAGUGUUUGGUUUUGUGCAGGAUCACUUGGACACGAAGCAUAUAUUUUAGCCCCCAGUUUUAAGUUUGAUGAUUUUUAAAUAACAUUUGCACAGAGGAAAUGAAUGUAGUGUUGCUAUGAAGGGAAAAUAAUGCAGUUACAUACAACCCUCCAUCUCGCCAAAUGUGUAUGGUUGCUGUCAAAUUCAAAUGUGAAGGCUUUUUAAAUUCAGAUCAUCUUAAUUUAGCAAGAGAGUUGCAUCCUGCCAUUCCACGCAGUGUACUUUCUGUUCUUUUAAAGGGGAAAUAAAUGAAUGCUGUGGGGGGAUGAAUGCUUGAAUUUUGGUAUGUUGCUGUGAAUCAGGGAUUUACACACAAAAUAAAACAUUUAACAAUAGAUCACUCCUGCAUUACGUGACUUACAAUAUCAUUUUUUUUUUAUUUAUCUCUGUUUGGCCCUCCAUUCAUGUUCAUGAUGUCUUUGAUGAAACACUGGUUUAUCGGCGAAGGGUGUUUACAGAGAAACAUUGCUGUGAGAUUACAUAAGGAACCUUACAGAAACUGUUCCAUCAUAUGUAAUUGGCCGACAUGUAUUUGGAAUUGUCUGGUAUUCGUCCAUUUCUGGAUCUGUAAAAACAAAAUUGCAUGUAUGAAUAACUGUUUUGAACUAAUUGUCAGUAUAAUAGAACCACUGUCACCUUGUGCUUUUGAGAUUGUGUGUAAAUCUACAAUUGUCUGUUUUAAUGUUACAUUCCUGUGAACUGCUACAUUGUUGUGUUUCACAUUUCAUUGCGUUAUCAUUUCUUUUGUUAAGAAUCUAAACAGGGGAAAGGUUUUACACUCUUAUAGUUAAAAUAAAAUAAAAUAAAAAUACAUUAUGAAGAGAUGAUGAUCAACAUGUAGGUGACAUGAACUACUGAAAAUAUUAACUGAAAUGUUUUACAUAAUCGUACCUGAAUUGUGAAGCAUCCUCUAGUGUUCAUUGAGAGGAUCGUAGACUAGAGAGGAUUUUUUAAAUGUGAACUAAAUGAAUUUUAUUUGUUGUAUUGCUCUUGUCCAUCUGCAUCCUUCUGUGUCUGUUCUUCAUUUAUGAAUUGAUUAUUCAUACAUGCAUUAAAAGCAUUUUGAGAUGACUUAAGAGAGAAAAUAAAUAAACUGAGAUUGUGCAAGCA